UUGUUCAGUUGUGCUCAAUGGCGCAGGCAGAGGGCCUGUCAGACUGUGUGGUUUGGAGCCGAUGGUUUGGCGCGGACCUUCCCCGGGUGUCUCCCGGUCGGCCGCGCCCCCGACCACGGGGGGCGGCCUGCCGGGGCAGGCUGGCUGCUGCCCCGGGGAAGCAACGUGGACAGGUACGCAGGGAGGGGUGUGCAGGAUCUGGGCCGCCACGGCGGGGCCUCUCAGCCCACACCACGGCGGUCCCCACCACUGGGGUGCGACUCCAUAAUGAUCCUUCCGCAGGUUCACCUACGGAAA
rnacentral:misc_RNA from 1 species